rnacentral:tRNA from 1 species
UCCCUGAUAGCUCAGCUGGUAGAGCGACGGACUGUUAAUCCGCAGGUCGUAGGUUCGAAUCCUACUCGGGGAGCCA